rnacentral:rRNA from 1 species
GGUGGGGAUGACGUCAAGUCCUCACUUGGCCCUUAUAGGUAGGGCUACACACGUCAUACAAUGGCUGGUACAAAGGGUUGCCAACCCGCGAGGGGGAGCUAAUCCCAUAAAGCCAGUCGUAGUCCGGAUCGCAGUCUGCAACUCGACUGCGUGAAGUCGGAAUCGCUAGUAAUCGUGGAUCAGAAUGUCACGGUGAAUACGUUCCCGGGUCUU